rnacentral:tRNA from 1 species
GGAGGGAUGGAUGAGUGGUUUAAGUCGCACGCCUGGAAAGCGUGUAAGGGUUAACAGCCCUUCGGGGGUUCGAAUCCCCCUCCCUCCGCCA